rnacentral:lncRNA from 10 species
UGUGACAACAGGAAGUGCAACGAUGGGCAGGGGUUUAAAUGCUGCUAUGCAGCCACUCACUCGACAAAUGAUUGAAAUAUAUAUAACUACAAAGAAAACCAUCACAAGACGCUUUGAUGGCAGUCAUCAACAGCCAGGCUGAGGCUGUUCUUGGAGUGGUGUAGAUCAGGAGUUCUGAAAACAACAACAACAACAACAACAACAAUAACAACAACAACAACAACGUAUGGUCAACUGAUGAGACUCAGAAUCUCUGUGGGCCAAGAAGUGAGACUGGUUUUGUAGCUCACCGUGAGAAGAUUUGAAAUGAAGAGUUCAAAGAACUGGUCUCUGAUGAAUGGCAUUGGGAUGGUGAGGUCUGGAAAAAGAUGGGAAAAA